ACACCUUCAACAAAUUUUACCCUAAGACCCAUUCUAUUAUCAUUAUUCCAUUGAUAUAUCCAACUAUAAUUAGGUUCCAUCUACACAAUCAAUCACAUUCAAGUAAUUAGUUUAAGUCAAUAAGGUUCACAUUUCAAGUAGCUAAAUUCAAAACAAAGUCACAUUCAAUAAAAAAAUUCACUUUUCAAGUACCUACACUUCAAAAAUUUCAAGUCACUAAGUCACCUCCCAAGUUAUCAAGCUUAAAAAAAUUCAAAAUGAAAAAAUUCACAUUUCAAGUACCUACACUUUAGCAUUUUCAAGUCGUUAAGUCACCUCCCAAGUUACCAAACUAAACUACAUUCAAAAUAAUAAUUCACAUUUCAAGUACCUACACUUAAUCAAUUUCAAGUCACUAAGUCACCUCCCAAGUUACCAAACUAAACUACAUUUAAAAUAAAAAAUUCACAUUUCAAGUACCUACACUUCAGCAUUUUCAAGUCACUAAGUCACCUCCCAAGUUACCAAACUAAACUACAUUUAAAAUGAAAAAUUCACAUUUCAAGUACCUACACUUCAAUAUUUUCAAGUCACUAAGUCACCUCCCAAGUUACCAAACUAAACUUUCAAAAUGAAAAAAUUCACAUUUCAAGUACCUACACUUAAUCAAUUUCAAGCCACUAAGUCACCUCUCAAGUUACCAAACUAAACUACAUUCAAAAUAAAAAAUUCACAUUUCAAGUUCCUACACUUCAACAUUUUUAAGUCACUAAGUCACCGCCCAAGUUACCAAACUAAUCUACAUUCAAACAAGAAUUCACUUUUCAAGUACCUAUACUUAAUCAAUUUCAAGCCACUAAGUCACCUUCUAAGUUACCAAACUAAACUACAUUCAAAAUAAAAAAUUCACAUUUCAAGUACCUACACUUCAACAUUUUCAAGUCACUAAGUCACCUCCCAAGUUACCAAACUAAACUACAUUCAAAAUAAAAUUCACAUUUUAAGUACCUACACUUCAACAAUUUCAAGCCACUAAGUCACCUCUCAAGUUACCAAACUAAACUACAUUCAAAAUAAAAAUUCACAUUUAAGUUACCUACGCUUCAACAUUCUCAAGUCACUAAGUCACCUCCCAAGUUACCAAACUAAACUACAUUCAAAACAAAAUUCAAAAUAAAAGUUCACCUUCAAGUAACUACACUUAAUCACUUUCAAGUAACAUAUUCAUUUAUUGUAUAAGUCAAACAAUUGAGCAAGUGUAAUAAAGCAAACAAGUAGAGGCGCCGCAUGUCCCUCUCACACCAUAUAAUCAUCACAAAAUUCCUAUGGCUUUCAAAGUCUUCUACAACGAACAAUCCAAACUAAACUACAUUUAAAGACUUCAUUAUAAGAAAAGAGAGAGAGAUCAACCUACCUUUGCUUGGCCUAAAUUAAAGAGAAAGAGAUAAGCGUUCAAUGGAAAAUAGCAAAGCAAUCCUUUUCCAAAUACAGAUUCUGUCAAACAGUAAAAUUAUUAGAAAGAAUAAUCUUUGGCUUAAACAAUUGGAACAAUUUAGUAAAAGAUAUCACAUUUAUGACUUCUAUUUCGACUAACAACAACAAUAACAUACCCAGUACAAUCAAACUCAAUUUUUAACUUUAAACAAGUAAAAAAGACACAAAAACAACAAUUAAUAAGAAGGUAACUAUAAUCACUUACUUUAUCACUUAGAUCCACCAUCUUGGAUCACAAUGAGUAAACUCUACCAAUAAUUAAGCAAAACUCGUUUAACAAAAUAGGUAAAAUACACUGAAUUUUCACCUCAAUCAAGUAAAAAGACCUUAAAUAAGCUCAAACCACACUUGAUUUUUGAGCUAACUUCACCAAAAUUACUCAUAACCCAUAAAAGAAAAUAGCUACAUGACCCAAAACAAGCUGAAUCAAGUAAAAAAGGGGCCCAAAAAAUAAGCUGAAUCAAAUAAAAAGAACAACAAUUAACUCACACUAUCAUUUCUUAAAUUUAAAAUUGCAACUAGGGUUGUGUGUCAUUUAGUAAUUGAGAGGGAAAGAAGAAGUUAACUGAGAAGAAGAGAACAACGUACAUGUGUGCGCGGAGUCGCCGGAGGCUGAGCUGCCGAAGUUCGUCGAGCUGUCGUCGCCAAUUUGGAGAAGUUGGAGGCGUUGUGUUGCUCUGUGUGUGUGUGUUGAUGUAAUGGUGGGUGUGUGUUAUUUUGAAGGGUUGGGUCGGGUCGGAUUAAAUUUAUUUAAUACAAUUUUUUUAAAAUUUUUAGAAAAAUCAACCACAUGUGGUCGGUUUUCUGAAAAUAUUUUUAAAAACCGACCACAUGUGAUCGAUUUUUUGGAUUUUUUUUUUAAAAAUUGACCACAUAUGGUUGUUUUUUUACAAAAUUAUUGACAAAAUAAAAUAUAAGUGUUCGAUUUAGUUUUUAAAAGGUUACUAUCGGAAAACAAUCACAUGUGGUCAAUUUUUUUUAAAAAGUUAAAUCAUAUAAUUAGUUAUUUUAUCAUCAUAUUAACACGAGUAGUAUAUUUCCUCAUUUGUAUAAUAAUAUCAAUACAUUUUACAAAUUAGGAUGAAUUUUUGGUUAGUUAACUUUUAAAUAUGAUAAAUACGAUAUUAUAUAUAAUAUAAAAAUGGAAAAGGGCAAUUAAAAUUGAGUUGGGUCGGGUCAUUAAUGGGUAUUACAAAAUAUGCAGUUGAUUUUUUUUUUUUUAAAAUAUCAUAAAAAAUGAAUACUUGUGGUCGAUUUUUAUUAAAAAAUUAAAAUUUUAAUAAAUUGUAUAAUAUUUAUAACAACAUCCAAAUAAUUUAAUGCAAUGUGUAUAUAUAUAAAUCAGAUGGUUAGUUAUUUUAUCAUCACAUUAAUAUAAGUAGUAUGUUUUCUCAAUCGUAUAAUAAUAUCAAUGAAUUUUGCAAAUUAAAAUAAAUUUUUGGUUAAUUAGCUUUUAAAUACGAUAUUUUAUAUAUAUAUAUAUAGAUAGAUAGAUGAAUAGAUGGAUGGAUGGAUGGAUGGAUGGAUCAGAUAUAUAAAUAUAUUCAAUUGGCUAUCAUCUUUUAAAUACGUACUAUAUACAUCACAUACACGAUUUUACUAUCCCAUAAUAAUAUACAACGUAUUUCACACAUACUCAGAUGAAUUAUCAGUUAGUUUAUCUUAUGUCAUUAAUAUACCUUCACUAUAUAGGUAUAUACUAUAUAUAUACCUAUACCCACACACACAUACACACUAUCGACUAUAUCAAGUUUUAAAUACGUGCUAUAUACAUCACAUACGUACACAAGUAUAUUAUCCAAUAAUAUAAGCUAGCUUUCGAUUAC
rnacentral:lncRNA from 1 species